rnacentral:sRNA from 1 species
CUCCGUUGCAUCCUCGCGACUAAUGACAACCCUGUCCCGCCCGUACCGGUGCGGAAAAACGUUCUCAAUAGCCGCGCGAACCUCUGCAAUGGAGAUCCAUACCUGGCAACAAUACAUGAGUUUGUAGCAAAUUGCUGCCGUUUGGUUGAAAAAAGGGGCCUUUUGAAAAGGCCCCUUUUU